GGGCGCUUAGCUGAGCGGGAGAGCGUUCCGUUCACGCCGGAGAGGUGAGUGGUUCAAUCACACUAGCGCCCACCA
rnacentral:tRNA from 1 species